CACACCAGAGAUGAUGGCGAUCUGAUUUAAAAUUGUUGAUGAGAACAUGCUGGGUUCUGUUGUUCAGAUAAGAAGAGAACCAGUUAAGGGCAGUUCCAGUAAUUCCAUAGCGUGAAGAUAAACGUUGGAUGAGAUGCUCAUGGUUGAUAGUUUGAAAGCUUCCCUGAAAAUAUUACGUGCUGAGGUGCUGU